rnacentral:rRNA from 1 species
GAUGAACGCUAGCGGCAGGCUUAAUACAUGCAAGUCGAGGGACAGCACAGGUAGCAAUACUGGGUGGUAACCGGCAAACGGGUGCGGAACACGUACACAACCUUCCUUUAAGUGGGGGAUAGCCCAGAGAAAUUUGGAUUAAUACCCCGUAAUAUAGUUGAAUGGCAUCAUUUGAUUAUUAUAGCUACGGCGCUUAAUGAUGGGUGUGCGGCUGAUUAGAUAGUUGGCGGGGUAACGGCCCACCAAGUCUACGAUCAGUAGCUGAUGUGAGAGCAGGAACAGCCAAACGGGCACUGAGACACGGGCCCGGCUCCUACGGGAGGCAGCAGUAAGGAAUAUUGGGCAAUGGACGCAAGUCUGAACCAGCCAUGCCGCGUGAAGGAUUAAGGUCCUCUGGAUUGUAAACUUCUUUUAUUUGGGACGAAAAAGGGCCUUUCUAGGUCAACUGACGGUACCAGAUGAAUAAGCACCGGCUAACUCCGUGCCAGCCGCCGCGGUAAGAC